UAAAAAUAAACCAGAUACAAAAUCUUGCCUUGUAUUUACAGACAAAUUUUAAUGGAAUAUUUCAUGGUCCAACACAAAUAUCAGACCCAAUGGCACUAAUUCUUGUACAGCCUUUGGCUUACCCUGUAUAACAAAAUCUGUUAUUUAAAGUAGACUACAAAAUACCUCAUGGUAAGUGAACUUCCAAAGACACAAAGAAAAUCUUCCAUAAAUUUAAAAGCUUAUCUCAAAUUCUUAUUGUUAUAAGCUUGGGAUGUAUAUAUGGUUAAUUGAAUUAUCUUAGGUAGUUGAAAUAUAUCAGUUAGAGUGUAGAAAUAAAAAAGUUGUUUUAGAUAUUUUUGCUUCUGUUCCUAGUCAACAUUAGUAAACACAAAUAAGUGGAUGUAAAAUUACUUUUACAAAAUUUUGAAUGUUGGCAAUCUCAAGCAAGAUUCUUUACGUCAGCGACACUUUUUUUUUUUUAACCCUUAGUCAGCAUAUUACAAGGUUCAUACAUUUCAAGGAGUAAUGACUAAAUGUUGUAUCAGAAAGAAAACAUUUUUUAGUAGCUCUUUAAAAAAAAACAAAAAAGAAAGUUCCCUUUAGAAAUUUACAAGAAAAUUGUAUGUCAUUAAGGAAACCUAAAGUAGAUGGGCAUAAAAUACAAUUGAGAAAAGGUAUCGAAAAUAAUGCAUUUGACAUAACCGAAUGUGCUCCACAACACCUUUUGUAAUCUUUCAGGGGAGAAAAAAAAAGUUUAUUUCCUAAAAUAUAUUAAAUGAAGAAAAAAGUUCAGGAAUGUCCAGCAGACAACUAAAAUUCAAAUUUUCUUUUUUUUUCAUUUUUUUUUUUCUGAGGAGACUUUACUGAAAGGAUGGAGUGUAAAUGGGAACCCUGUAGGUGUGUUCAUAAGUGUUGUACAUGACGUAUUUGAAGCGCCACUCAGUACACAUUGAAUACUUUGUAAGUAUAUAGGCAUAUCAACAUGCAAGUGUCAUGUACUUAAUAUUACAAUAUGCAUUUUGUCUUGUGAAAAUGUUCAUGAUAAGAGUAGAAUCAAUAAUUGUGUUUGUUUUAUGUGCGAUAUGCUUCAUUUUGGUGGAUCUUCUUUGCAGCACAGAAUAUUUUUGAGUGCUGUCAUAAGUAUACCCUUCCAAAAGAUAUGGAUUUCAUGUCAUAUAAAUAGAACACAUUAUUUUUUGAAACUUCAUUACCGGGAACACCUGCAUUUCUGGACACUGUUUUCAGAGAUAAGUCUUUAAAUUUUUUUUUUAACAUGGCAAACUUGUUGCAAGGUUGUUUACACUGAAAUAUUUAUGAUAAGAAUGGAGCUGUCUUUAAGGAAUAUUUACUGUUGAAUAAAAAGGUAAACAACUGAUUCACAAAUAUUGAUGUGAACUGAAUAUGAAGAAGAAAUUAGCCAUUCCAAACUCAAAAGUCCUUAGUCCACUACUCGAUUGCAUCAUUGAAUCAAUCGACAACAGGUACGGCGAGUACAGCGAAGUAAGUUUGUAAAAAAGAUUAAAAUGUUACAUAUUUAUAAAGGAGCAAUAUCACUAGCUUUGAAAAGCUUCUAGAUUGCUUUUUUUUUUGUUCUAUUUAUGACAUUCAGUCAACACAUCGGAACCACAGAGAAAAGCAAAGAGGAGAAAGAUAACAGCUGUUUUUACAUUUUGUACUUGUCUUUAACCGAUUCGUGACUACUGCUUCCAACCGUUACAUUUUAUUGCGCGUGACUUUCACUAUCAGCAAAUAUAAAAAACGUGUCUACGAGGAUCAUGUACAAGGGGAAGCAUCUAAAGAAAGAAAGCAUUUGAGUUUUGGUCACCAUUCUUCCCAGGACAUUCAAAAAGGAAAAGAAGACAAGAAGAAUAUUGAUAUCGGCCAAGAAGGAAUAUGGAGCACAGUGUGACAAACACAACAACAGCCACUAUUCCUCCUAUGAGAGCAUGAUCAGGGCCGUUCUGGCCAGCCAGAGAAUUGGGAUCUAUUCUGCUGCU